CCUACGGGUGACAGCAGUGAGGAAUAUUGGUCAAUGGGCGAGAGCCUGAACCAGCCAAGUCGCGUGAGGGAGUACUGCCCUAUGGGUUGUAAACCUCUUUUGUCGGGGAGCAAAAGCCGGACGUUUCCGGCUGUGAGAGUACCCGAAGAAAAAGCAUCGGCUAACUCCGUGCCAGCAGCCGCGGUAAUACGGAGGAUGCGAGCGUUAUCCGGAUUUAUUGGGUUUAAGGGGUGCGCAGGCGGAUUUUUAAGUCAGCGGUAAAAUCGUGGGGCUCAACCCCAUCCAGCCGUUGAAACUGGGGAUCUAGAGUGUGCGAGAGGUAUGCGGAAUGCGUGGUGUAGCGGUGAAAUGCAUAGAUAUCACGCAGAACCCCGAUUGCGAAGGCAGCAUACCGGUGCACAACUGACGCUCAGGCACGAAAGCGUGGGUAUCGAACAGGAUUAGAUACCCUUGUAGUC
rnacentral:rRNA from 1 species